rnacentral:rRNA from 1 species
GAUGAACGCUGGCGGCGUGCCUAAUACAUGCAAGUCGAGCGAACGGACGAGAAGCUUGCUUCUCUGAUGUUAGCGGCGGACGGGUGAGUAACACGUGGAUAACCUACCUAUAAGACUGGGAUAACUUCGGGAAACCGGAUCUAAUACCGGAUAAUAUUUUGAACCGCAUGGUUCAACAGUGAAAGACGGUCUUGCUGUCACUUAUAGAUGGAUCCGCGCUGCAUUAGCUAGUUGGUAAGGUAACGGCUUACCAAGGCAACGAUGCAUAGCCGACCUGAGAGGGUGAUCAGCCACACUGGAACUGAGACACGGUCCAGACUCCUACGGGAGGCAGCAGUAGGGAAUCUUCCGCAAUGGGCGAAAGCCUGACGGAGCAACGCCGCGUGAGUGAUGAAGGUCUUCGGAUCGUAAAACUCUGUUAUUAGGGAAGAACAUAUGUGUAAGUAACUGUGCACAUCUUGACGGUACCUAAACAGAAAGCCACGGCUAACUACGUG